UCGCUAGUAAUCGCGCAUCAGCCAUGGCGCGGUGAAUACGUUCCCGGGCCUUGUACACACCGCCCGUCAAGCCAUGGGAGCCGGGGGCGCCUGAAGUCCGGGACCGCGAGGACCGGCCUAGGGCGAAACUGGUAACUGGGGCUAAGUCGUAACAAGGUACC
rnacentral:rRNA from 1 species